AGCAGCCGCGGUAAUUCCAGCUCCAAUAGCGUAUAUUAAAGUUGUUGCAGUUAAAAAGCUCGUAGUUGAAUUUCGGGAUUAAUAUGUUGGUCGUGCCUUGGUACGUACUGGCAUUAUUGAUUCCUACCUUCUGAAGAACCUCGAUGUCAUUAAUUUGGUGUCUUGGGGAAUCAGGACCGUUACUUUGAAAAAAUUAGAGUGUUUAAAGCAGGCUCGCGCUUGAAUACAUUAGCAUGGAAUAAUGAAAUAGGACGUUUGAUUCUAUUUUGUUGGUUUCUAGGAUCGACGUAAUGAUUAAUAGGGAUAGUUGGGGGCAUUAGUAUUCAAUUGUCAGAGGUGAAAUUCUUGGAUUUAUUGAAGACUGACUACUGCGAAAGCAUUUGCCAAGGAUGUUUUCAUUAAUCAAGAACGAAAGUUAGGGGAUCGAAGACGAUCAGAUACCGUCGUAGUCUUAACCAUAAACUAUGCCGACU
rnacentral:misc_RNA from 1 species